rnacentral:rRNA from 1 species
AGUGAGGAAUAUUGGUCAAUGGGCGAGAGCCUGAACCAGCCAAGUCGCGUGAAGGAUGAAGGUCUUAUGGAUUGUAAACUUCUUUUAUAAGGGAAUAAAAAAGAUCACGUGUGGUCUAUUGCAUGUACCUUAUGAAUAAGCAUCGGCUAACUCCGUGCCAGCAGCCGCGGUAAUACGGAGGAUGCGAGCGUUAUCCGGAUUUAUUGGGUUUAAAGGGUGCGUAGGCGGUUUAUUAAGUCAGUGGUGAAAGUUUUCGGCUCAACCGGAAAAUUGCCAUUGAAACUGAUAGACUUGAGUGUAAACGAGGUAGGCGGAAUUCGUGGUGUAGCGGUGAAAUGCUUAGAUAUCACGAAGAACUCCAAUUGCGAAGGCAGCUUACUAGGCUACAACUGACGCUGAAGCACGAAAGCGUGGGGAUCAAA